CUCUUACUGUAGAUGUAUUGAAUCAGGGAUGUUCCUUCAUGACUUUCGGCUGGCUCCACAAACUAAAGAGGAAUGGCUGCAGAGCAAGGGAACAAAUUCUCAGCUAUGGCUCUAGAAUACCUUCUAGGCAAUGAAGCUAGGCUGCUUGGAUUACACAUUGGAGCUACAAACUGAAUAUGCACAGGACAUACUGGCUUAUCUUUAUCCUGCAGCAUCUUCCUGAUAUAAGAAUUUAAGAUUUAUUUCUACGAAAUACCAGCUACUUGAUCCACUGUUUGCAGUUCACUUUUGAGUACUGUGAAAGGAGAGGAAUGCUAAAAACUAUGCUUUUUUUUCCACUGGCAAGAUAAGAAUGCCUUUCCAGCAAGGAACUGACUUAGUGAACCUCCGCAUU